GACGAACGCUGGCGGCGUGCUUAACACAUGCAAGUCGAACAGUAAGGCCCUUCGGGGUACACGAGUGGCGAACGGGUGAGUAACACGUGGGUGAUCUGCCCUGCACUUCGGGACAAGCCUGGGAAACUGGGUCUAAUACCGGAUAGGACUCCGGACUGCAUGGUCUGGGGUGGAAAGCUUUUGCGGUGUGGGAUGGGCCCGCGGCCUAUCAGCUUGUUGGUGGGGUGAUGGCCUACCAAGGCGACGACGGGUAGCCGGCCUGAGAGGGUGACCGGCCACACUGGGACUGAGAUACGGCCCAGACUCCUACGGGAGGCAGCAGUGGGGAAUAUUGCACAAUGGGCGCAAGCCUGAUGCAGCGACGCCGCGUGAGGGAUGACGGCCUUCGGGUUGUAAACCUCUUUCAGCAUCGACGAAGCGAAAGUGACGGUAGGUGCAGAAGAAGGACCGGCCAACUACGUGCCAGCCGCCGCAGUAA
rnacentral:rRNA from 1 species